CGAGUUAUUUCUGAAUAGAUUAACAAAUCUUCUCUUUGACAUCGAAACACAAGAAAAUAUCAUGCAAUUUCUAUUGCAAAUAUUACAGAGACCAUUAAAAAUCUCAGGACUUGGAUUUUUCUAUUACGGUAAUAAAUUCACCCUUGAGUGUAUAAAUUACAUUGGGACAAUCAUAAUAUUUGCGCUUCAAUCACAACCCUACAGAGAUACUAUCAAGUAA